GAGUUUGAUCAUGGCUCAGAUUGAACGCUGGCGGCAUGCCUUACACAUGCAAGUCGAACGGUAACAGGUCUUCGGAUGCUGACGAGUGGCGAACGGGUGAGUAAUACAUCGGAACGUGCCCGAUCGUGGGGGGAUAACGAAGCGAAAGCUUUGCUAAUACCGCAUACGAUCUACGGAUGAAAGCAGGGGACCGCAAGGCCUUGCGCGAACGGAGCGGCCGAUGGCAGAUUAGGUAGUUGGUGGGAUAAAAGCUUACCAAGCCGACGAUCUGUAGCUGGUCUGAGAGGACGACCAGCCACACUGGGACUGAGGCACGGCCCAGACUCCUACGGGAGGCAGCAGUGGGGAAUUUUGGACAAUGGGCGAAAGCCUGAUCCAGCCAUGCCGCGUGCAGGAUGAAGGCCUCGGUUGUAAC
rnacentral:rRNA from 1 species